rnacentral:rRNA from 1 species
AAUCAACGCUGGCGGCGCGCUUAACACAUGCAAGUCGAACGAGAAAGGGGAGCAAUCCCUGAGUACAGUGGCGUACGGGUGAGUAACACGUGGGUGAUCUACCUCUUAGGUGGGGGAUAACUCUGGGAAACCGGAGUUAAUACCGCAUAAGCUUGAGAGAGGAAAGCAGCAAUGCGCUGAGAGAGGAGCCCGCGGCCGAUUAGCUAGUUGGUAGGUAAAGCCUACCAAGGCAAAGAUCGGUAGCCGGCCUGAGAGGGCACACGGCCACACUGGGCACUGAAACACGGGCCAGACUCCGUACGGGAGGCAGCAGGUGGGGAAUCUUGCACAAGUAGGGGGAACCCUGAUGCAGCGACGCCGCGUGAGCGAUGAACG